UCUUAUAAAUUAAGACUGGAAUGAAUGGAUAAAUGGGGCAAUUCUUUCUUAGGUUAAAAAUUAAAAAUAAUCUUUUUAGUGAAGAGACUAAAAUGAGAUUGAGGGACGAGAAGACCCUAUUAAGCUUAAUAUAAUUAUUAUGUUGGGGAAACAAAAGAGUAUAUUUUCUUUUAAAAUAUUUUUUGAUAAAUGUUGAUUUAUUAUUAAUAAUGAUAGAAUAAGUUACUAUAGGGAUAACAGCAUAAUUUUUUUUAAAAGUUCUUAUUUACAAAGAAGAUUAUGACCUCGAUGUUGGAUUAGAAAUAUUAUAUGGUGAAGUUGUUGUAUAAAUUAGUCUGUUCGACUAUUAAAUUUCUA
rnacentral:rRNA from 1 species